rfam:Tupaia chinensis contig23716, whole genome shotgun sequence.
GUGCUCACUUCAGCAGCACAUAUACUAAAAUUGGAACAAUACAGAGAAAAUUAGCAUGACCCCUGCACAAGGAUGACACGCUAAUUUGUGAAGUAUUUCAUAUUUUU